GAUGUGGUGACCUAUGAUGAUGUACAUGUGAACUUCACUUGGGAAGAAUGGUCUUUGCUGGCUCCUUCACAGAAGAGUCUCUACAAAGAUGUGAUGCUGGAGACCUACAGCAACCUCACUGCUAUAGGCUGCAAUUGGGAAGAGCAUAAUAUUGAAGAAUAUUGUCAAAGUUCUAGAAGACAUGGAAGGCAUGAAAGAAGUCUUACUGGAGAGAAACCCUCUGAAUAUACUCAAUGUGUUAAAGCCUUAGCAUGUCACAGUUAUCCUCAAAAACAUGAAAGAAUUCAUUCU
rnacentral:lncRNA from 1 species